rnacentral:rRNA from 1 species
AUGGCUUUCACACCACCACCGUACAUCCUCGGAAUUGAUUUGAGCAAGCCAAUCGAGCCAGUUGAUGCUAUCCCGGUGUCUUAUGCAUUCUUGUCACAGCCGAAACAGAUGAUGGCGCAGCCAAUUGUAGAUGGCAGAAAGGCUGUCAAAUUUGCCGAGCCUAUUGUUCAAGGAUCACUUGUGGAGAUAUCAUCAUCAAUGGAUGAAGUGCUAUGCAAGAUGGAGCAGGAUGUGCUCCUCAAGAAAAAAAUGCAGACAAAAGCCCCUUCUAGCACACCUGUUGCACACGCUACCACUUUUGUUGAUGUGCAGAGCAGCGCCACCCCAGGUUCUAUGCGGCGGGCAAGGGUUGUGCAACCCCCCCCCCCCGGAAGUGGACUAUGA